GACGAACGCUGGCGGCGUGCUUAACACAUGCAAGUCGAACGGUGAAGCCCCAGCUUGCUGGAGUGGAUCAGUGGCGAACGGGUGAGUAACACGUGAGCAACCUGCCCCUGACUCUGGAAUAAGCGCUGGAAACGGCGUCUAAUACUGGAUACGAGAAGGGUCCGCAUGGGCACUUUCUGGAAAGUUUUUCGGUUGGGGAUGGGCUCGCGGCCUAUCAGCUUGUUGGUGAGGUAAUGGCUCACCAAGGCGACGACGGGUAGCCGGCCUGAGAGGGCGACCGGCCACACUGGGACUGAGACACGGCCCAGACUCCUACGGGAGGCAGCAGUGGAGAAUAUUGCACAGUGGGCGGAAGCCUGAUGCGGCGACGCCGCGUGGGGGAUGACGGCCUUCGGGUUGUAAACCUCUGUCAGCAGGGAAGAAGCGAAAGUGACGGUACCUGCAGAAGAAGCACCGGCUAACUACGUG
rnacentral:rRNA from 1 species